GACUGCGAGUAAUAAGGCCCGUAGUCAAGAGGGACACAGCCCAGACCAACAGCUAAGGUCCCCAAUGCCGUACUAAGUGGUGAAGGAUGUGGAGUUUCGAAAACAACCAGGAUGUUGGCUUAGAAGCAGCCAUCAUUAAAAGAGUGCGUAAUAGCUCACUGGUCGAGAGGCUCUGCGCCGAAGAUGACCGGGGCUAAAGUACGGAACCGAAGCUUUGGCAAUUAGCGAUGCUAAUUGGGUAGGGGAGCGUUCCUGCAUGGGAGAAGCCUGACCGGAAGGACAGGUGGACAGGCAGGAAGAGAGAAUGCCGGUAUGAGUAGCGAAAAGGGUGGUGAGAAUCCACCCCACCGAAAGCCUAAGGGCNNNNNNNNNNNNNNNNNNNNNNNNNNNNNNNNNNNNNNNNNNNNNNNNNNNNNNNNNNNNNNNNNNNNNNNNNNNNNNNNNNNUUCCUGUACCGCAGAAGUAUGAUUGAGCGAUGUGGUGACACAAGAAGGACGAUGCGCAUGCGACUGGAAGAGCAUGUCUAAGCAGGUAGGCUGUAGAGUAGGCAAAACCGCUCUAUGAAAAGGCCGAGAAGUGAUGGGGAGCUUUCCGAGAGGAAAGUGAAGGGAUCGGAACUAGAUUGUCGAGAAAAGCUGCUAAGGAUAGCCCAGAGUAUGUGAAGUCCAUACGGAUGGAGCAGGAAUGGGCGGCAGAAGAGAGGCCCAAGCGACUGUUUACCACAAACACAGGCGUCUGCUAAAGCGAAAGCUGAUGUAUAGAUGCUGACACCUGCCCGGUGCUGGAAGGUUAAGAGGACGUGUUAGCUGUAAGGCGAAGCAGAGAAUUGAAGCCCCAGUAAACGGCGGCCGUAACUAUAACGGUCCUAAGGUAGCGAAAUUCCUUGUCGGGUAAGUUCCGACCCGCACGAAAGGUGUAACGAUUUGGGCACUGUCUCAACGAGGGACCCGGUGAAAUUGAAGUACCUGUGAAGAUGCAGGUUACCCGCGACUGGACAGAAAGACCCCAUGGAGCUUUACUGUAACCUGAGAUUGGAUUCCGGUAUAAGAUGUACAGGAUAGUUGGGAGGCGGAGAAGUGCGUACGCCAGUAUGCAUGGAGCCACUGGUGGGAUACCAACCUUGUUGUAUUGGAAUUCUAACGAGAGCCGUAACAAAGCUGCGGACAGUCUCAGGCGGGCAGUUUGACUGGGGCGGUCGCCUCCUAAAAAGUAACGGAGGCGCCCAAAGGUUCCCUCAGCGCGGACGGAAACCGUGCGAAGAGUGUAAAGGCAGAAGGGAGCUUGACUGCAAGACGUACAGGUCGAGCAGGGACGAAAGUCGGGCUUAGUGAUCCGGUGGUAGAGAGUGGAAUUGCCAUCGCUCAACGGAUAAAAGCUACCCUGGGGAUAACAGGCUUAUCUCUCCCAAGAGUCCAUAUCGACGGGGAGGUUUGGCACCUCGAUGUCGGCUCAUCACAUCCUGGGGCUGAAGUAGGUCCCAAGGGUUGGGCUGUUCGCCCAUUAAAGUGGUACGCGAGCUGGGUUCAGAACGUCGUGAGACAGUUCGGUCCCUAUCCAUCGCGGGCGUAAGAAACUUGAAAGGGGCUGCUCCUAGUACGAGAGGACCGGAGUGGACGAACCAAUGGUGUACCAGUCAUACCGCCAGGUGUGCAGCUGGGUAGCUACGUUCGGGACGGAUAAACGCUGAAAGCAUCUAAGCGUGAAACCAGCCUAAAGAUGAGGUUUCUCAUUGCAAAAGUAAGGUCCCACAAAGACGAUGUGGUAGAUAGGCCGGGAGUGGAAGUACAGUAAUGUAUGGAGCGGACCGGUACUAAUAGACCGAGGACUUGACUUA
rnacentral:rRNA from 1 species